rnacentral:lncRNA from 1 species
UUUUUGCUAAGAACCUUAGGUAGGAGUUCCCAGUCGUGAUGGAUUCAGAAUCAAUGAAAUCAGGAUUUAAAGAUGAACUAAAUUAUUUUUGAUUGAAUACAAAAGUUGGCAUAUGCAAAUCAUGACAGAGAAACAAAACACCUCAAGAUGGAAUUUUGAAUAUCAGGGGCUCUUGCAUUGAUACAGGAAGAAUUCCAACAUUCUCUUGCUACAUAAGGAUUAAAAAUGCUAACAUAUUCUAUGCAUUGCUACUACAUAUGCAUAAGUUUAACAUCCUAUUCCUUCCUUCCUAUGUCAUUUGUCUAGGUUAACCAUUUUCCAUAAACACAUACAUUAUUAUAUUGUUGAAUGCACAGGAUACCACCCCAUUUCACAAAGUGAUGCUCUUGUAUCAUUCCAGAUGUCAUCUCAUGGAAAAGCCAUCCAAAAGUAGACCAUGCCCCCAUUUAUUCAACAGAAAACUUCAUAAUAAAACCUCCUGCAAGAAAGAAAAUAUUGCAAUGUUAAAAUUAUUUUUCGCCAUUCGCAUAAACUGAUUAAAUGAUUAUACAUGUGAAACCUUGAGCACACUACACAAUUUGGCAACCAAAGAGAGAUGAAAACAUGAGAUAUAUAGAGCUAACAACGUCAAGAGAAUUGCAACAAUUGAAGGAACAAGAAACCCGAAAUAUACUUCCAUUUGCAAAAAAGAAUUGCAUCACAAAAAAGAGUAACAUGUAGAAGGUGGACUCUCAUUUUGUAUUUUCACCAGUAUAAAAUUGAAGAAUUAUGUCACUUUUCUAUAGACCAUUGAAAGAGAUCACUCAUUUUGGAGGUACAAAAAUAGAAAUAGGACUCUCAUUUCAUUUCGAGAUUAAGUAUUUUACAACUAGAUUGCAUCUACAUAUCCACAACUUUUACACAUUAUGCAUAUACCGUCUUGUUAUAGAUAAGAAGGUAUUAUUCCAAUUUCCAAAAGCCUUAAUCCCUACCACCUCUAACACAAACUGAUAUUGAUAUGACUACAAAGCUCCCAAGGACAUAUCCCCAAAAGCAAAACCAAUAUGAUGUUCCAAAACACCCAUAUGAGAGAAGUGGGCCAGAACAAAAGUCCCAAAUGCAAUUGCCCGAGCUUCUCAAAACCCACAAAGAAAAGACCUUUAAAUUGUGGUAAGAACUCACAAAAUAAGCAAAUACAAAUACAAUCAACUGCAGAAUUAAGUAUCUAAAACAUUGAAAUUGAAGAAAAUUAUCAAGACCCAAUAACUAAUUUGCACAAAAAAAGCAAAAUAAAGAUGAUCAAGUUUCAAUUCAAUUCAAUUAAAACACCAUAGGAGAGCUUACCUACCUGAAUAAUUUUUAGGGAAUGAAUGGAAUUAAGAAAGAUCCUUGGCGUUAUGUAAGAAAGCAGCAGAGCAAAGAAUAGAAGCAAUAAAAGCGAAAAGACCCAGCCCAAUCAUCAGAGAAAUCCCCGCCACCACCAAGUCCAUUAAACACUGCACACUCACUCCCAUCACCAACAUCAUCUUUUCCCCUUUUCACACACUCUCUCUAUAUAUAUAUAUUAUCUUUUUAAUUCGAUUUAUUAUUCCCACAGGCAAUGUCUAUGAAAUUGGGUUUUCCUCCUUUGCAUGAUCAUUUAUACUACACUGCUACACAUGGCACAGAAGAAUGAAAGAGAGAGAAAGAGAUUUGUUGCAGAUAACGUCUUGGGAAGGUUGAUACACGGCUGACCCCAACGGUUCAAGCAAGAGGCAUCGGCUAAUAACGCUAGUUAUGGGCCUACUGAGCUCAAUUAUGGGCCUUAUUUGACCUCAACUUGUGUCACUUGUUCG